AGUCCUGCAGCUCAGUGGUUAGAGCACUCGCCUCGUAAGCGAGAGGAUCUGGGUUCAAUUCCCGGCAGGGCGA
rnacentral:tRNA from 1 species